UAGCUGAGUAAUAUGUGAUUAUUCCACUA
rnacentral:sRNA from 1 species